rnacentral:lncRNA from 1 species
UACCAUCUGUUACAGCACACAAAGAUAAAAUUGAUGUUAUUUUAGAUAAAUGUGUUGUAUUUUGACCAAUGAUGGCAAGAUUUAAUACUUCCUUGUUUGUUGGAUCGUUCCACCUGAUUUGAAUUGUACAUGGAUUCCAAGAGAGAGGUGUCAACUAAUGUGGAUCAAAUUAUUUUUGGAGUUUCAAUAGUUGGUUCGUCUGAAAGAUCGUCCUCGGUGGCAUGACUUGAAUUCUUUGGAGUAUUAAUUGCAGCCUAUAGUGGUCUAUCAACUCGAUAGGGUCGAGUCUUUUGAGGACACCAGAUUCAGAUCUCCACUGACACAUUUUUACAGGCGUCGGAAGAAGCUUGUCCAACCACUCAGCUUAUGGUUAGAAGAUUGACUGCAGCCUCUCAUGAUCUAUUCACUCGACAGGGUCGAGUUUUUCUCCCACCCCCAGAGUUGAUGAGGACAUCCGAUUUAUUUAUUUAUUUUAUUUUCAAUUUAGACUUUAUUUAUUAUCUUAGACUCUUAUUUAGGUUAUUGGGCUUGUAUUGGCCUGGGCAGUCUCGUUAAGGUUUGCUUUACUAUUUAAACAUAUUUUGUGAUAUAAUUUAUUUCAGUUGAUAAUUGAAUAAACUUUUGUUGGCUUGUGGUGAAAUUCUCUCUUCCUAUUUUCUUCUUUUUUUGUGGAAUUUUCUUCUUCUCCCAUUCUUCCCUUCAAUACCCCCCUUCCCAUAGAUCCAUUCUUACAUUCAAUUAAUUGCUCGAGUUGGUGCUGCAUCAAAGACGUUGUCCGUACAUUAUUGCAAAUAUUGUUUGGCCUAAUGAUCUUAACCUCUCCCGUUUCCUAGGGUGAAUGAAGACUCCCAUUCUUCCCUUCAAUACCCCCCUUCCCAUAGAUCCAUUCUUACAUUCAAUUAAUUGCUCGAGUUGGUGCUGCAUCAAAGACGUUGUCCGUACAUUAUUGCAAAUAUUGUUUGGCCUAAUGAUCUUAACCUCUCCCGUUUCCUAGGGUGAAUGAAGACCAUGGUGGUACUUUGUUAACUAAAUUAUUGAUGCACUGUAAACUGUUCCUAGUGUUCAUGCCUUUUGUAGCAUUUGUACAUAAUUGAUGUAGUUGCUUCAUAUUAUGUAGUCACCUUAACUACUGUCUUUCCAAAAUGUUUUUCCAGUCUUGUUUUAUCCAUCUUAUGUUUGAUCUUUCUACGCAAACAGAU